GCAGCCGCGGUAAUACGUAGGGGGCGAGCGUUGUCCGGAUUUAUUGGGCGUAAAGGGCGUGUAGGCGGCCUUGUAAGUCGAGGGUGAAAACCUAGGGCUCAACCCUAGGACUGCCUCCGAUACUGUGAGGCUUGAGUGCUCUAGAGGGCAGUGGAAUUCCCGGUGUAGCAGUGAAAUGCGUAGAGAUCGGGAGGAACACCAGUGGCGAAGGCGACUGCCUGGGGAGCAACUGACGCUGAGGCGCGAAAGCUGGGGGAGCGAA
rnacentral:rRNA from 1 species